CCUGCGGAAGGAUCAUUAAUGAAUUCACUAUGGAGUUGUUGCUGGCCUUUAGGGGCAUGUGCACGCUUCACUAGUCUUUCAACCACCUGUGAACCUUUGAUAGAUCUGUGAAGUCGAUUCUCAAGUCAUUGACUUGGUUUGCUGGGACUUGAUCGUCUCGGUGUGACUACGCAGUCUAUUUACUUACACACCCUAAAUGUAUGUCUACGAAUGUCAUUUAAUGGGCCUUGUGCCUAUAAACCAUAAUACAACUUUCAACAACGGAUCUCUUGGCUCUCGCAUCGAUGAAGAACGCAGCGAAAUGCGAUAAGUAAUGUGAAUUGCAGAAUUCAGUGAAUCAUCGAAUCUUUGAACGCACCUUGCGCCCCUUGGUAUUCCGAGGGGCAUGCCUGUUUGAGUGUCAUUAAAUUCUCAAACUCACGUUGGUUUUGCCAAUUGUGAUGUUUGGAUAGUUGGGGGUUGCUGGCUUUAACAAGUCGGCUCCUCUUAAAUGCAUUAGCAGGACUUCUCAUUGCCUCUGCGCAUGAUGUGAUAAUUAUCACUCAUCAAUAGCACGCAUGAACAGAGUCCAGCUCUCUAACCCGUCCGCAAGGACAACUUGACAAUUUGACCUC
rnacentral:rRNA from 1 species